rnacentral:rRNA from 1 species
ACUCCUACGGAGGCAGCAGUGGGGAAUAUUGCACAAUGGGCGCAAGCCUGAUGCAGCCAUGCCGCGUGUAUGAAGAAGGCCUUCGGGUUGUAAAGUACUUUCAGCAGUGAGGAAGGUGGGUAUGUUAAUAGCAUACUCAUUUGACGUUAGCUGCAGAAGAAGCACCGGCUAACUCCGUGCCAGCAGCCGCGGUAAUACGGAGGGUGCGAGCGUUAAUCGGAAUUACUGGGCGUAAAGCGCAUGCAGGUGGUUUGUUAAGUCAGAUGUGAAAGCCCGGGGCUCAACCUCGGAAUUGCAUUUGAAACUGGCAAACUAGAGUACUGUAGAGGGGGGUAGAAUUUCAGGUGUAGCGGUGAAAUGCGUAGAGAUCUGAAGGAAUACCGGUGGCGAAGGCGGCCCCCUGGACAGAUACUGACACUCAGAUGCGAAAGCGUGGGGAGCAAACAGGAUUAUAUACCCUGGGAGGCUCUGC